UCUUGACGGUACCUAAUCAGAAAGCCACGGCUAACUACGUGCCAGCAGCCGCGGUAAUACGUAGGUGGCAAGCGUUAUCCGGAAUUAUUGGGCGUAAAGCGCGCGUAGGCGGUUUUUUAAGUCUGAUGUGAAAGCCCACGGCUCAACCGUGGAGGGUCAUUGGAAACUGGAAAACUUGAGUGCAGAAGAGGAAAGUGGAAUUCCAUGUGUAGCGGUGAAAUUCCAUGUGUAGCGGUUCCA
rnacentral:rRNA from 1 species